rnacentral:rRNA from 1 species
AAGACCUUUGCGCUUUUGGAGCGGCCGAUGCCUGAUUAGCUUGUUGGUAAGGUAAAAGCUUACCAAGGCUUCGAUCAGUAGCUGGUCUGAGAGGACGACCAGCCACACUGGGACUGAGACACGGCCCAGACUCCUACGGGAGGCAGCAGUGGGGAAUUUUGGACAAUGGGCGCAAGCCUGAUCCAGCCAUGCCGCGUGAGUGAAGAAGGCCUUCGGGUUGUAAAGCUCUUUCAGCCGGGAAGAAAAGGUUGCGAUUAAUAAUCGCAAUUUAUGACGGUACCGGAAGAAGAAGCACCGGCUAACUACGUGCCAGCAGCCGCGGUAAUACGUAGGGUGCGAGCGUUAAUCGGAAUUACUGGGCGUAAAGGGUGCGCAGGCGGUUUUGUAAGUCAGAUGUGAAAUCCCCGGGCUUAACCUGGGAACU